rnacentral:rRNA from 1 species
UACGAAGGGGGCUAGCGUUGCUCGGAAUCACUGGGCGUAAAGGGUGCGUAGGCGGGUCUUUUAAGUCAGGGGUGAAAUCCUGGAGCUCAACUCCAAAACUGCCUUUGAUACUGAGGAUCUUGAGUUCGGGAGAGGUGAGUGGAACUGCGAGUGUAGAGGUGAAAUUCGUAGAUAUUCGCAAGAACACCAGUGGCGAAGGCGGCUCACUGGCCCGAUACUGACGCUGAGGCACGAAAGCGUGGGGAGCAAACGGG